rnacentral:rRNA from 1 species
GAUGAACGCUGGCGGCGUGCCUAAUACAUGCAAGUCGAGCGAACAGACGAGGAGCUUGCUCCUCUGACGUUAGCGGCGGACGGGGGAGUAACACGUGGAUAACCUACCUAUAAGAAUGGGAUAACUUCGGGAAACCGGAGCUAAUACCGGAUAACAUGUUGAACCGCAUGGUUCAAAAGUGAAAGACGGUCUUGCUGUCACUUAUAGAUGGAUCCGCGCCGCAUUAGCUAGUUGGUAAGGUAACGGCUUACCAAGGCAACGAUGCGUAGCCGACCUGAGAGGGUGAUCGGCCACACUGGAACUGAGACACGGUCCAGACUCCUACGGGAGGCAGCAGUAGGGAAUCUUCCGCAAUGGGCGAAAGCCUGACGGAGCAACGCCGCGUGAGUGAUGAAGGUCUUCGGAUCGUAAAACUCUGUUAUUAGGGAAGAACAUAUGUGUAAGUAACUAUGCACAUCUUGACGGUACCUAAUCAGAAAGCCACGGCUAACUACGUG